rnacentral:rRNA from 1 species
GACAGAGGGUGCAAACGUUGCUCGGAAUUACUGGGCGUAAAGGGUUUGUAGGCGGCCAUGUAAGUCAGGUGUGAAAUCCCUCGGCUCAACCGAGGAACGGCGCUUGAUACUGCAUGGCUUGAGGGAGACAGGGGUAAGCGGAACUGAUGGUGGAGCGGUGAAAUGCGUUGAUAUCAUCAGGAACACCGGUGGCGAAAGCGGCUUACUGGGUCUCUUCUGACGCUGAGGAACGAAAGCUAGGGUAGCGAACGGG